GGUGAACUCAUGAAAGAAGCUCAUGAAAUACAUUAAUAUGCCUUUUUCAGAAUAUAUUUCGCCAAAUUUAAGAAGUCCCUGACAUCAAAACACUGAGUAUUGUUGUCUCUGUGUCAGAUGGCUUAUUUUGUUCCUGGACUCUUCAGUGAUGAUGAGCAGAGUCUGAGUGAACCUGCUGUCAGACAAUCACUAUUGCACACCAAAUGCUCUUACUCAGCAGAUGGGGACAGCUACCAUCACCCAAUUUUCACCCAAAAGUGGCUGCGCUAUUCGCCAGACUGGGCAGGAGGGACUGGACGACAACUUAUGCAGGCAUCAGAUGACAAUGAAAUGUAAAUAAAGAGUAGAGAAGCUAAUAAACAUGAAUUUGAUUUUAAA